GACGAACGCUGGCGGCGUGCUUAACACAUGCAAGUCGAACGGAAAGGCCCUGCUUUUGUGGGGUGCUCGAGUGGCGAACGGGUGUGUAACCCGUGAGUAACCUGCCCUUGACUUUGGGAUAACUUCAGGAAACUGGGGCUAAUACCUGAUAGGAGCUCCUGCUGCAUGGUGGGGGUUGGAAAGUUUCGGCGGUUGGGGAUGGACUCGCGGCUUAUCAGCUUGUUGGUGGGGUAGUGGCUUACCAAGGCUUUGACGGGUAGCCGGCCUGAGAGGGUGACCGGCCACAUUGGGACUGAGAUACGGCCCAGACUCCUACGGGAGGCAGCAGGGGGGAAUAUUGCACAAUGGGCGGAAGCCUGAUGCAGAAACGCCGCGUGCGGGAUGAAGGCCUUCGGGUUGUAAACCGCUUUCGCCUGUGACGAAGCGUGAGUGACGGUAAUGGGUAAAGAAGCACCGGCUAACUACGUG
rnacentral:rRNA from 1 species